rnacentral:rRNA from 1 species
GCGGCAGGCCUAACACAUGCAAGUCGAGCGCGCCUUUCGGGGUGAGCGGCGGACGGGUUAGUAACGCGUGGGAAUAUACCCUUUUCUACGGAAUAGCCUCUGGAAACGGAGAGUAAUACCGUAUGAGCCCUUCGGGGGAAAGAUUUAUCGGGAAAGGAUUAGCCCGCGUUAGAUUAGGUAGUUGGUGGGGUAAUGGCCUACCAAGCCUACGAUCUAUAGCUGGUUUUAGAGGAUGAUCAGCAACACUGGGACUGAGACACGGCCCAGACUCCUACGGGAGGCAGCAGUGGGGAAUCUUGGACAAUGGGGGCAACCCUGAUCCAGCCAUGCCGCGUGAGUGAUGAAGGCCUUAGGGUCGUAAAGCUCUUUCGCCUGUGAAGAUAAUGACGGUAGCAGGUAAAGAAACCCCGGCUAACUCCGUGCCAGCAGCCGCGGUAAUACGGAGGGGGUUAGCGUUGUUCGGAAUUACUGGGCGUAAAGCGCACGUAGGCGGACCAGAAAGUUGGGGGUGAAAUCCCGGGGCUCAACCCCGGAACUGCCUCCAAAACUAUUGGUCUAGAGUUCGAGAGAGGUGAGUGGAAUUCCAAGUGUAGAGGUGAAAUUCGUAGAUAUUUGGAGGAACACCAGUGGCGAAGGCGGCUCACUGGCUCGAUACUGACGCUGAGGUGCGAAAGUGUGGGGAGCAAACAGGAUUAGAUACCCUGGUAGUCCACACCGUAAACGAUGAAUGCCAGUCGUCGGGUAGCAUGCUAUUCG